rnacentral:rRNA from 1 species
CCUACGGGAGGCUGCAGUGAGGAAUAUUGGUCAAUGGGCGCGAGCCUGAACCAGCCAAGUAGCGUGAAGGAUGACUGCCCUACGGGUUGUAAACUUCUUUUAUAAAGGAAUAAAAUGAGGCACGUGUGCCUUUUUGUCUCUACUUUAUGAAUAAGGAUCGGCUAACUCCGUGCCAGCAGCCGCGGUAAUACGGAGGAUCCGAGCGUUAUCCGGAUUUAUUGGGUGUAAAGGGAGCGUAGGUGGGUUCUUAAGUCAGUUGUGAAAGUUUGCGGCUCAACCGUAAAAUUGCAAUUGAAACUGGUAGUCUUGAGUACAGUUGAGGUAGGCGGAAUUCGGGGUGUAGCGGUGAAAUGCGUAGAUAUCACGAAGAACUCCGAUUGCGAAGGCAGCUUACUAAACUGCCACUGACAUUGAUGCUCGAAAGUGUGGGUAGCAAACAGGAUUAGAUACCCUAGUAGUC